rnacentral:rRNA from 1 species
GAUGAACGCUGGCGGCGUGCCUAAUACAUGCAAGUCGAGCGAACGGACGAGAAGCUUGCUUUUCUGAUGUUAGCGGCGGACGGGUGAGUAACACGUGGAUAACCUACCUAUAAGACUGGGAUAACUUCGGGAAACCGGAGCUAAUAUCGGAUAAUAUUUUGAACCGCAUGGUUCAAAAGUGAAAGACGGUCUUGCUGUCACUUAUAGAUGGAUCCGCGCUGCAUUAGCUAGUUGGUAAGGUAACGGCUUACCAAGGCAACGAUGCAUAGCCGACCUGAGAGGGUGAUCGGCCACACUGGAACUGAGACACGGUCCAGACUCCUACGGGAGGCAGCAGUAGGGAAUCUUCCGCAAUGGGCGAAAGCCUGACGGAGCAACGCCGCGUGAGUGAUGAAGGUCUUCGGAUCGUAAAACUCUGUUAUUAGGGAAGAACAUAUGUGUAAGUAACUGAGCACAUCUUGACGGUACCUAAUCAGAAAGCCACGGCUAACUACGUG